rnacentral:sRNA from 1 species
UAGAUAUUUGACCAAAGAGAGUGAUGG